GGAGGUGACGUCACAGGGCUGUGAGGGCGGGAAGGGGCGAUGGCGGCGCUGAGGGGACGGGAUGACGGGGCACCCUCAGGCUGGGCAGGGGCUGUGCAGCGCACACAAGCGUGCAGCACACUCAGGGGAACACCCCAAUCUGCCGCCGCACCGCUGCGGACUGACUGUGCACACUGAGCAAAAACCAACACACGAGGAACGCUCCAGGAUUCCAGAAUUGCUGUGACAUUACAGGACUCGGAGUGCAUUCAGUUUUUUCUAGCAAGACGCAUAAUAUUCAUGUUUAUGCACACUAAAAGUCCAUCACACCUCUUCUUGUGUGACAGGUGAUAAAGCUGUACCACAUUAAUUCUUCCUCUCCCUGAACACUGCCACAGACAACCACUGGGCGACAGCACCCGAGAGCCAAACUGAAGGAGCGGGGACAGGGAUCAUUUCCAUCGGUACUUCACAUAAUUGCCCUCCACAUCCUCGACACCAAACGACUUUGCUCCUUAACGGCCCAGACACCUCAAGUAGGAAGAGGAGAUCCCACACUGAGGGUUCCAAAGCCCAGAGCCACAGCCGGAGUGGUGGAGCUCAGCAGCAGCAGGACAGGGGGAUGUGUACUGGGGAAAAAAAACCCAGUGCUGACAAGUCCAAUUAAUAUUUCAACAACACUGAAUGACAGAAUUCUGUAUUCAAACAGAGUUUAAUACAGAGAUCUGACUACCAAGCUCAUGCAUUAACUCAUCCACGAUGAACCAGAAGCAGCGGUGACAACAGCCCAUAAAAGAAUUGGCAAGCGUAAAAUGGAAAUGACUUUUACAAAAAGGUGCUGAAAGAAUGGGAUGUUAAAUGAAGAUACAGGAUCACCUACAAGAAAAUUGAUCACCAUCUUGGAAUGCUGCUGAAGGCUAAAUUCCAACCAUCACUGUCAGCUCCUGAGACCAACUUCUUGAUUGAUGCAUGGUCUGAGAAACUCAAUCACUGUCAGCCUCUUCUUACUGCGUUUUCAUGGGAAUAUAUUCUAUAAAGUUUCAGCCUGGAGAAACCCCAAGAGCGAAGAACUGUCCUUCUACUUGGAGCUGACCUGCCAAACAAUCACCCUCUUACCUGUUUCAAGAGUGCCAGGAUGUACAGUGGGAAGAGGCGCAGGGAGUGGGGGGCAGUGAGCCCGGGCUGCUGGAUGCUCAGCACCGAUGACCGGUAAGCGGACAAGGAGUCGAUCACGGCGUUCACCAGGGCGUCCCGAGCAUCGCUCAGCGUGGCAGACACUGAUCUGUCCACAGCUAAAAACAGAGCACAGAGCUCAAGUAAGAGCCUUUUCCUCCCUUGGCAGGAAUACAGUCACGUACGUUAACUCUUCUCACUUUAUUGUAUACUUUGAUGCAUCCCAACAAGCUUUCACUGCAUUCCAGAGGAAGUGAUUCAGAAAAAAAGCCAGGGGCCUGUGAUGAUGCACCAGACUAAGCCUAAGUCCAGAGGAUUAUUGCUCAGAGGUUUAAGGAUGGGAUCCAUGCAUACCCACACAGGCUCUGAGCACACUUACCCAUGUUGGCCAAGAGCCCAGUGAUGGCCUGCACGUCUGCCCCCAGGUACACAUCACUCAGUGUGGUCACCACAGGUAAGCACAUGGUGUGCACACGAAUUCGUCUUUCACCUGCAGGAAAAGAAAACUGUUGUCUCCCAACAUACUUGUUUUAUGAAAUACUAAAAUGCCACUGUUUGCCCAACCUAGUUUAUCAUACAGAUGGUGAAUCAGGCCAUUUUCAAUAGCCCUUAAAAUGAUUAGUUCUCAGUUUCUGGGUUAAGCCUACUUAUUUUCAGACCAAAACUAUGUUUCCCAAGAAACUUCUCGGUCUGAAAAAAGCAACAAUAUCAACGACAUACCCAAGCUGUGAUCCUGAUAUUAAAUUAAGCAGUUUGAGUAAGUUACUGCAGCUGAAC